UGAACCGAGGAGGGAGGAGGCUCGACCCGACACUCCAGGGCUGGGCUCGGGAAGUUGGCGAAGGCGAGGUAGCGAGGGCUGGACUAUGGCCAAUUAAAAUCUGCUAGUCAGAGUGCAUCUGAUCCGGUUUGCAAAGCGGGACAGAGAGAGGCAGAGAAGCUGGAGCUGCCUGGAGCUCCCGGGAUGGACAUCUCCAUGAGGCUGGGUCCAAGUGCGAUACACGUACGCUGGAGCAUGGCUCAGGUUUCUGGUGCAUCACUUGGCGGCGAGGUCACCUCUAGGCACUGGGGCCCCAAACAUGAUCAGUGUGCAGCUGGUGAACCGGGAAAUCCGAAACAUGGUACAAACCCCCGAGCCUGUAGCUUAGAGCUUUCAAAGGAAGCAGGAUCCAGUGAUACAGGCGUUUUAUUAAGUACCUGUUAUUGGCAGCUCACAGCCAGUUGCUUACUCAUUUCAGCAAAACGGCCAGAGGAGAAGAAAAACAAACAUGUAUGCAAAUAAAUCGACAAUCUAUGUGA